rnacentral:lncRNA from 10 species
AUUCAAAGAGCUUCAUCUACUUAUAUAUCAGAAUCACAGAAUAUUAGAUUCAAAAAGACAUUAGAAAUAAUCCAGCUAUUGAAAUAAAUUUUAUGGAGAUAACAAGAGAGGCAGACAGACCACAUGAACAGUCCAAGGUCACACAGCUAGUUCGUGGAAAGAACAAGAAAAAUCCAGGCUUCCUGAACUGAGAUGGGUGCAAUGGGUGUUCUCUGCAGUGUGUUGCCUCCUUAAUUUGGCCAUGUAUCGAUCCAUGUAUUGAUUGAAGAAUUCCCAUAGAAUGAACCUGGAGCUGUGGCUUUAAGAAUUACAAGCAGGAAAGUACUCAAAGAUCAAAGGACUCAGCAUAGAGGAAAAAACAUCUGUGGUCUUUGUUUCUUGAGGAAGUUCUCUUCCAGCUCUUUUCCAGGGACUCCCUCACAAAGACGAGGUAGGAUAGGGGCCUGGAAUGGUGUCCUUCAGAGGCGAGAGGCCUGCCAUCCUCACAGGCAAGACCUGAAGCCGCUGGUGGAGGAGAGGAAGCCCUUCAGCUCCCAGCAUCCAGGCUGUCCACCACUGCUGGGAGAGCAGAGUGAGCCAAAAUUAUCUACACCUGAGGGAACUGAGUUGUCUACACCUGGGGGACUUACGGUGCACUCUCUCCUGCCUUUUGGGAGCAGGAUAGGAGCAAGAACGCUGAGAAAAGCCCGCUUAUGUGGCCCAGGUGCUCCAGGUCUGCCUGGGUCUGAGGCUGCACCUGAGGAAACAUGCCUGCCUCCACCAACAACCCAGCACCAGGUAGCCAGCACCAGUGGGCUAGCUCUGGGCAGGUGCAGGGAGGAGAGCAGCAGGGACCACUGACGGCUGAGGGUGGGGCAUGAAGAGCAGGCAGCAGCGGCUCACCACUAGAGGAAUUCAGAUCCAUGCGGCACUGAAGAAACUGUAACCCAAGGUCCUAGGGUUUUGGAUAUGCACGGUGAAAAACUACCCACUUGUAACUGUGGCACCGUGAAUUCUUUGUCAUCUCAAAAUGUUCUAGGAAGAAGCUCAGCCCUGGAAAAACAAAAACGAGUUGGAUCCAGAGAUAGCUGAGUUGGAGAUAAACUUUGGUGAACUCUCCUCAGUACCCUACUAAAACCCUUGCCCAGGGAGGAGCUUAUUUUCCCUUUGGUUUGUACUUGUGAUGUGGGUAAAAGCAUGAUCAGUAACUGCACCUGCACUGCCUUUACUCCUCCGCUACAUACGAUGACUCAGCUGACCAGCCCAGUAAAAUCCCUGUUUUUACCAUUGUUCGGGGAGGAGCUAUCUCGGGAACUAUCCUGGAUGUCUUCCUUACUUGUUGCAAAUAAUAAAAUCUCCUCGUUACAUCCUCCUUGGUUGUGGUCAUUGGACUGUCACCUGCCAGGUGAUUGAACCCACCCAUUGUGUGGGUAAUGAAAAUAGUAGCUUUCACAUUUCCUGUUUUAUCUAUAUUGCUAAAAUUAAAUUCUCCUCUAGAUAUGGAUACCUACCAAUAAGGGCCAAUGGCUGGGGUA